rnacentral:rRNA from 1 species
UACGUAGGUGGCGAGCGUUGUCCGGAUUUGCUGGGCGUAAAGGGAGCGUAGGCGGACUUUUAAGUGAGAUGUGAAAUACUCGGGCUCAACUUGAGUGCUGCAUUUCAAACUGGAAGUCUAGAGUGCAGGAGAGGAGAAUGGAAUUCCUAGUGUAGCGGUGAAAUGCGUAGAGAUUAGGAAGAACACCAGUGGCGAAGGCGAUUCUCUGGGCUGUAACUGACGCUGAGGCUCGAAAGCGUGGGGAGCAAACAGG